ACAUGCAGUCGAGCGGAGCGAGGGUGCUUGCACCUUAGCUUAGCGGCGGACGGGUCUCUACCGCUUAGGAAUCUGCCUAUUAGUGGGGGACAACAUUCCGCUUGGAAUGCUAAUACCGCAUACGCCCUACGGGGGAAAGCAGGGGAUCUUCGGACCUUGCGCUAAUAGAUGAGCCUAAUUCGGAUUAGCUAGUUGGUGGGGUAAAGGCCUACCAAGGCGACGAUCUGUAGCGGGUCUGAGAGGAUGAUCCGCCACACUGGGACUGAGACACGGCCCAGACUCCUACGGGAGGCAGCAGUGGGGAAUAUUGGACAAUGGGCGGAAGCCUGAUCCAGCCAUGCCGCGUGUGUGAAGAAGGCCUUUUGGUUGUAAAGCACUUUAAGCGAGGAGGAGGCUACUAGUACUAAUACUACUGGAUAGUGGACGUUACUCGCAGAAUAAGCACCGGCUAACUCUGUGCCAGCAGCCGCGGUAAUACAGAGGGUGCGAGCGUUAAUCGGAUUUACUGGGCGUAAAGCGUGCGUAGGCGGCUGAUUAAGUCGGAUGUGAAAUCCCUGAGCUUAACUUAGGAAUUGCAUUCGAUACUGGUCAGCUAGAGUAUGGGAGAGGAUGGUAGAAUUCCAGGUGUAGCGGUGAAAUGCGUAGAG
rnacentral:rRNA from 1 species